rnacentral:rRNA from 1 species
AAAUGAAUAGACGGGGGCCCGCACAAGCGGAGGAACAUGUGGUUUAAUUCGAUGAUACGCGAGGAACCUUACCCGGGCUUGAAAUGUACUUGACCGAUCUGGAAACAGGUCUUCUAGCAAUAGCAAGUAUGUAGGUGCUGCAUGGUUGUCGUCAGCUCGUGCCGUGAGGUGUCGGCUUAAGUGCCAUAACGAGCGCAACCCACAUUGUUAGUUACUAACAGGUUAAGCUGAGGACUCUGACAAGACUGCCAGCGUAAGCUGUGAGGAAGGUGUGGAUGACGUCAAAUCAGCACGGCCCUUACGUCCGGGGCGACACACGUGUUACAAUGGAUGGUACAGAGGGUCGCUACCUAGUGAUAGGAUGCUAAUCUCCAAAGCCAUUCCCAGUUCGGAUUGGAGUCUGCAACUCGACUCCAUGAAGCUGGAUUCGCUAGUAAUCGCGCAUCAGCCAUGGCGCGGUGAAUACGUUCCCGGGCCUUGUACACACCGCCCGU